UGUUUGUUUUGUUUAUACAUGCACUGGGUAUAGUCAGAAGCGCGGGAGGGUGAGAGAAUUCACCAGAGCCAGAGCGAGGAGCAGAACAGGCAGAAGGACCGAAGCACACUGCUGAGGGGAGCAGCGGGUGGCAGGAGAGGUCUGCGCACCAUGUGGGAUCCUCCUCCGGGGCCGGGGAGCAGCCGGGGAUCGAACCGGCGCCGAAGAGGCUGUGGGCAGCUUCGCAACCCAGCGCUCAACCGCUGCGCCACCGGGGAGGCCCAAGAGGACCCCAUUCUCUAUUUCAGGGCCCCAUUUUCUAUUUCAGGGCCCCAUUCAGGAUACACUAUUACAUUAAAUUGAUGUGACUUCUUAGGCUCCUUUUGGCUGUGACACUUUCUCAGAUGUUCUUCAUUUUGAUGACCAUGGCAGUUUUGAAGAGUACUGAUCAGUCUAAACCACAAGGAAAGGUUUAAACAAAUGCCAGUGGUGGUGGAAAUGACAAGGUCUAUAAGACUACAGAAAAAAGAAGGAAUAAGUCCUGGAGUGCAAGUGACUAGUGAGAUCUUCUAGCAGAAGGGCCUUUGGGUGAAGACCUAGAAACUUGGUGCAGUGGCAACCAGGCACAAGGUGUGCACCAUCAGGCAGCGUGCACCGCGCCCACGCUCCCAAGCUUCUCCUGCAUUAAAACAAUCAAGGCUGCAGGUGAUAGUCAGAAGCUGGCAGCGUAAAAGCCUGAGCAACUUCACUUCUUCCACACUUGGAAAGGAGUUCUGAAGUGGGAAGGUGACCUAGGAACUGUUACAGUUGGAACCUAGUUACAGCAGACUAAACUUUGAAACUGGAGAAUUUCUGUAAGUUCUUCUUGCUGAAAUUAUUUCAUGCACUGUGAACUUGAAGGUCAGGGAGAAGAAUGUCUGCUAUUGGGAGGCACAUUCAAGAUAGCACCAAGAGGCUCCCUGCUUCACUGUUCAGACCAUCAUUAGUGAAGUACUGUACCCAGAGAGUCCUGUGGGUGAAAAUCUAGAACACCUGUUGAACAUCAGAGCACGUGUACAGACUGUGCCAGAGACUCACUUCAGUGACCUAGAGAUUCCCAUGAGGUCUGUGUAAACUGUCUCCUUUGUAUGAAGCUGAAGGUUCAAGAUAAGUCUUAAGGAUUUAAUCAGCAGUUAUCCAUGUGGGAUGAGGGGAAGUCCAAGAAGAAAUUACACAAGGAAAGAGCUGUUUACCUGUCAUUGCCUCGCAGCAUCUUGGGAUCAAAGUAUCUGUAGUCAUCCGUUUCCUUUAAAAACAAACAAACAAACAAAAAACAAAAAUACUUUGUAAUGACUAUGGGCUUUCUCUUUAGAAAGUUUGGCUUAGAUGAAUCUAUUAACUUGAUAUUAUGUCUAACAACCAAUACCAAUAUUUACCAGACAUUUGUUAUGUUUUAAACAUUGUUCUAAGUGCUUUAGAGGAAAUUGCUCACUUAAUCCCUAUAACAUCUAUAAGUUAUUGCUAUCCUUUUCACACGGGCAAGUCGGGGUACACAGAGGUCACAUGGUUUAUUAAAUAUGAGAACUCCAGGACUUGAACCAGUUAUUUUAGUUAUCAGUUUAUUUUAGUUAUCAAUUUAUUUUUCUAAUCUCUUCAGUGCCCAAACUCUUCAGCAUUAUGUGUCUUGAAAAUAUACCUCUUAUGAGCUUAUG